rnacentral:rRNA from 1 species
UACGAAGGGUGCAAACGUUGCUCGGAAUUAUUGGGCGUAAAGCGCACGUAGGCGGCUUCGCAAGUCGGAUGUGAAAUCCCUCGGCUCAACCAAGGAAGUGCAUCCGAAACUGCAGAGCUUGAGUACUUAAGAGGAUCGCGGAAUUCCCGGUGUAGAGGUGAAAUUCGUAGAUAUCGGCAAGGAACACCAGUGGCGAAGGCGGCU